rnacentral:rRNA from 1 species
UACAGAGGGUGCGAGCGUUAAUCGGAAUUACUGGGCGUAAAGCGCGCGUAGGCGGUUUUGUAAGUCGGGUGUGAAAGCCCCGGGCUCAACCUGGGAACUGCAUUCGAGACUGCAUAACUGGAGUAUUGGAGAGGGCAGUGGAAUUUCCGGUGUAGCGGUGAAAUGCGUAGAUAUCGGAAGGAACAUCAGUGGCGAAAGCGACUGCCUGGCCAAAUACUGACGCUCAUGUGCGAAAGCGUGGGGAGCAAACAGG